rnacentral:lncRNA from 1 species
AAAGAAACAAGGUGUGAUUUUCCAGUCACCCAGCACAGUGCUUGCACCAUGCCAGAGGAUGAGGAGAUGACAGCUGCAGCUGCAUGGCCACAGAUGGAUUUACUGGGAAUUGUAAGGAGCUGAUGUCCCAUCGUGUCCAUAGGACAGAAAAUGUACUGCCACCAGAAAAGCUGUUACCCACAGCUCCUUGCAGGAUGGGCAGAGGGCUAAUGAUCAUGCUCAGGAACUCAUACAGAAUGAGUCUGUCCACUACCCAUAUCAGACUGAUGCAGAGGCUGAUGACCCUGAGAGUGCUGGAAAGUCCAUCUGCUC